UACAGAGGUCUCAAGCGUUGUUCGGAUUCAUUGGGCGUAAAGGGUGCGUAGGCGGCGGAGUAAGUCAGGUGUGAAAUCCCGGGGCUCAACCCUGGAACUGCACUUGAUACUGCUUUGCUAGAGUACUGGAGAGGAGACUGGAAUUUACGGUGUAGCAGUGAAAUGCGUAGAUAUCGUAAGGAAGGCCAGUGGCGAAGGCGAGUCUCUGGACAGUUACUGACGCUGAG
rnacentral:rRNA from 1 species